GGCAAAGGUGGAAGAGGGGAGCAUUUGCUCUGCGCUUGCAGCUCUUUGUCUGACAGCCCCAGGGUCCUGGAAGCCCCAAAGUCAGGAUGUCGUGCCUCCGGACUUCUAAGAUCCUGAGAACCAACCCUGUCACCCUGGUCCCAGGGGCAUAGAAAGCAGAGCAGUAGACAAGAGGGAACCAUUAACACUGCAUCCAUCAUCAGACACAUCAUCCCACCUAGAGGAGAAACCACUGAGAAGUGAGAGAGUCAUCCCACAGAACCCAUGGCGGAGGACAAGGAGAUUUUUUAAGUUGGGGAGGAGAAAAAUGACCCCAAAACAGCCAUGAGAGAUAGAGGAAUAGUGAUGUACACAGAUAACAUGAUGGCUAAUACAAUGAAACCAAGUGGAAAACCCUGAAACUUCUUCCUAUCAAGAUAUAAGCCAGAAGCCAUAGAACAUUUCUGGAGGAAUCAUGAAGAAUAUCAAAAGUGGUGGGGAAGAAAUAACAAAAGUAUAUGUAAUUUCAUAACUAGUUAUAGAAGUAAAGGCUGAAAAAUGAAA